rnacentral:piRNA from 1 species
UACCUUCUUUAGGCACCCGGGCUCAC